GUUCGAUCUUUAAACUAAAUUUUUUGAAACUUUAACAGGAACGAGCAUCCGGCACCCUUGUGCAUGUACCCUACAAUGACUGCCAGGCUUGGAUGGAUGUCCCCACUCCUGACUUGGUCUGCCCUGACACCACCUGGGCAAUGGGGAGAGUGUCUUCCUACGGCUGGGGAGUGUGGGAGUCCAGGCUUCACGCACUCUUUGCUGUUCAAUGUACCAGCUGGAGGAUGAGUCUGCGCAUUUGGAUGAAAUGCCACUAAUGAUGUCUGAAGAAGGCUUUGAGAAUGAGGAAAGUGAUUACCACACCUUACCACGAGCCAGGAUAAUGCAAAGGAAAAGAGGACUGGAGUGGUUUGUCUGUGAUGGCUGGAAGUUCCUCUGUACCAGUUGCUGUGGUUGGCUGAUAAAUAUUUGUCGAAGAAAGAAAGAACUGAAAGCUCGUACAGUAUGGCUUGGAUGUCCUGAAAAGUGUGAAGAAAAACAUCCCAGGAAUUCUAUAAAAAAUCAAAAAUACAAUGUGUUUACCUUUAUACCUGGGGUUUUGUAUGAACAAUUCAAGUUUUUCUUGAAUCUCUAUUUUCUAGUAAUAUCCUGCUCACAGUUUGUACCAGCAUUGAAAAUAGGCUAUCUCUACACCUACUGGGCUCCUCUGGGAUUUGUCUUGGCUGUUACUAUGACACGGGAAGCAAUUGAUGAAUUUCGGCGUUUUCAGCGUGACAAGGAAGUGAAUUCACAACUAUAUAGCAAGCUUACAGUAAGAGGUAAAGUGCAAGUUAAGAGUUCAGACAUACAAGUUGGAGACCUCAUCAUAGUGGAAAAGAAUCAAAGAAUUCCAUCGGACAUGGUGUUUCUUAGGACUUCAGAAA
rnacentral:lncRNA from 1 species